rnacentral:rRNA from 1 species
ACUUAAGCAUAUCAAUAAGCGGAGGAAAAGAAACCAACAGGGAUUGCCUCAGUAACGGCGAGUGAAGCGGCAACAGCUCAAAUUUGAAAUCUGGCCCUUUCAGGGUCCGAGUUGUAAUUUGCAGAGGAUGCUUCGGGUUCAGCUCCGGUCUAAGUUCCUUGGAACAGGACGUCAUAGAGGGUGAGAAUCCCGUAUGUGACCGGUUGCCAUGCCCGUGUGAAGUUCCUUCGACGAGUCGAGUUGUUUGGGAAUGCAGCUCAAAAUGGGUGGUAAAUUUCAUCUAAAGCUAAAUAUUGGCCAGAGACCGAUAGCGCACAAGUAGAGUGAUCGAAAGAUGAAAAGCACUUUGGAAAGAGAGUCAAACAGUACGUGAAAUUGUUGAAAGGGAAGCGCUUGCAACCAGACUUGCCUGCAGGUGAUCAGCCGGUAUUCUUACCGGUGCACUUGCCUGCAGUCAGGCCAGCAUCGGUUCGGGCGGCUGGAUAAAGUCCACUGGAAUGUAGCUCCCCUCGGGGAGUGUUAUAGCCAGAGGUGCCAUGCAGCCCGCCCGGACCGAGGACCGCGCUUCGGCUAGGAUGCUGGCGUAAUGGUUGUAAGCGACCCGUCUUGAA